UACAGAGGUCCCAAGCGUUGCUCGGAAUCAUUGGGCGUAAAGCGCACGUAGGCGGUUCGUUAUGUCGGAUGUGAAAGCCCUUGGCUUAACCGAGGAAGUGCAUCCGAAACUGGCGAGCUAGAGUACGAAAGAGGAUCGCGGAAUUCCCGGUGUAGAGGUGAAAUUCGUAGAUAUCGGGAGGAACACCGGUGGCGAAGGCGGCGAUCUGGGUCGAUACUGACGCUGAGGUGCGAAAGCGUGGGGAGCAAACAGG
rnacentral:rRNA from 1 species